rnacentral:lncRNA from 1 species
AUAAAUUACACUUUUUCAAUAAACAUCUCCUUAAUUACAAGUGUUCAUUCAUAUUAUACAAACCCUUGAUCCAUUUCAAAUUUGGAGUUUCCAAAACUUCGAUUACUUAGGUUUGCAUUCAAGCUAUUAGAUCUUUAUUUUUGAUCCUAUAAUUCAUCAAAUGAUACCAAAAUAUUUGAUUUAAGCAACAUUUAUUAGAAUUAGCAAAACGCUAACUUGGACACUUUUUCUUUCUGAGAACUGAUUUAAAGGUCAUAUUUCUGAAUCUUUGUAAUCGAUUAUGUUGGAGAAGCUCGUUUUCUCAUUCUAAAUUAGUCUGAGAGAUCUGUGGU